UGGGGAAUAUUGGACAAUGGGCGAAAGCCUGAUCCAGCCAUGCCGCGUGUGUGAAGAAGGUCUUCGGAUUGUAAAGCACUUUAAGUUGGGAGGAAGGGCAGUAAGCGAAUACCUUGCUGUUUUGACGUUACCGACAGAAUAAGCACCGGCUAACUCUGUGCCAGCAGCCGCGGUAAUACAGAGGGUGCAAGCGUUAAUCGGAAUUACUGGGCGUAAAGCGCGCGUAGGUGGUUCGUUAAGUUGAAUGUGAAAGCCCCGGGCUCAACCUGGGAACUGCAUCCAAAACUGGCGAGCUAGAGUGGGGCAGAGGGUGGUGGAAUUUCCUGUGUAGCGGUGAAAUGCGUAGAUAUAGGAAGGAGCACCAGUGGCGAAGGCGACCACCUGGGCUCAUACUGACACUGAGGUGCGAAAACGUGGGGAGCAAACAGG
rnacentral:rRNA from 1 species